rnacentral:rRNA from 1 species
AUUGAACGCUGGCGGAAGGCCUAACACAUGCAAGUCGAACGAGUGGCGGACGGGUGAGUAAUGUCUGGGAAACUGCCUGAUGGAGGGGGAUAACUACUGGAAACGGUAGCUAAUACCGCAUACCAUCAGAUGUGCGCAGAUGGGAUUAGCUAGUUGGUGGGGUAACGGCUUACCAAGGCGAAGAUCCCUAGCUGGUCUGAGAGGAUGACCAGCCACACUGGAACUGAGACAGUGUCCAGAUUCCUACGGGAGGCAGAAGUGGGGAAUAUUGCACAAUGGGCGCAAGCCUGAUGCAGCCAUGCCGCGUAUAUGAAGAAGGCCUUCGGGUUGUAAAGUACUUUCAGUGGGGAGGCGUUACCCGAAGAAGAAGCACCGGCUAACUCCGUGCCAGCAGCCGCGGUAAUUC